AUUAAUGGGACUGACCUUGAGCGGUGACAGGAGCCGAGGAUGCCCCCGGGAAGAGGCAGCCCCGCAGUGCUGAGGAAGAUGAGGAGGAUGAGGAUGGUUCCCCCCCCGAGGGUCCCCAGCACCUUUGGGUGCUGCUGGGAGAGCUUUGGGAACAACACCAGGCUCUGCUGUUUGCAAGGCUUUGCUGGGAUGAAUCCAUGGAGAGCAAGGAGAGCUCCUGGUGUGCGAACCACUCCUCUGGAUGCAUGAAAACACAUCCCAAAACCUAUUUUUGGGAGGUUUUUCCAAAAAAAGCCAAGAGUCGGCACUGAGCUUCACACUUGGAGUUGUUCUUUUUCACCCCCAGGACCCUCAAAGGAGAUAAAUCCCUCAUAAACCAGAAAGAAUUAAUCCAAACCAGCCCUGGGGAUGUGUCAGGUGAGUGAAAGCCUCACUCCAAGCCUCUGUUUUUCCCAUUAUUUUCCAAUAAUGCACGCAGGGAAAUUCCUUGGUGGUGGCAGGAGCAUCCCAGCCCUGCCCCAGAGCUGAAUCCUGAGUGGCUGAUCCUAAAACAUGAUUAAAAAUACAUCUCAAUUCCCUCCCUUCCAGAAAUCCAUUUGUAUCCUCAGCCCUCCCUUCUAUAGUUCUGAUAAUGACAGAAAUAGAGGAAUCCCGUAAUUGCCAUAAAUUCAUUUUAUGUGAUUAUUUCUAAGGAGAUGGAGGGGGGUGGGGGGAAAAGCCUUUUAUUGGAAUUAAUUGUCCAGCUGGAUUAAUGAUUUAUUCCGUGGAUCCAUGGCUCUGUCACUGGUCCCAGAGGCCACCCCAAGGUUCUCCAUCCUCCCAGAAAAAAAUGGGUGGAAAAAGCAAAAAAAAAAGGGCUGAAAUACUUCAAUACUUCACUCCUGAGCACAUCCCAGCAAAUUGCUCUGACUUUUGGGUGCCCCAAAGAGUGCAAAGGCACAUUAGGUAUUGAAUGCAAUAUUUAUAAUAUUAAAAUGAAUAUUUUAAUAGCCCCAUAAAAGGAGCGGAAGGAAGAAGAAAAGCAGUGGCGCCAAAGCCGCUCCUUCCUGCGAGAUAAAAAUGUUUCAUUUCACUUUUACUGCUCGGCUCCAUCCCUGCCUCCACUUUUAUAUUCUAUUAAAAUAUUAAUUUCGGGGUAGAACGGAGGGAUUUAAUAUUUCAGCUGAUUUAAAAAGUCAAUAUUAUCAAAGUUGGGGGUUGGGGAGGGGGUCUCAGAGGAGAACAUCUCAAUAGACCAGCAGUGACAUUA
rnacentral:lncRNA from 1 species